GCUUGGGUAGCUCAGUCGGUAGAGCACUUGCUCGCGAAAGCCAAAGGUCCCGAGUUCGAGUCUCGGUUUAAGCU